CGGACGGGUGAGUAACACGUGGGUAACCUACCUAUAAGACUGGAAUAACUUCGGGAAACCGGAGCUAAUGCCGGAUAACAUAUAGAACCGCAUGGUUCUAUAGUGAAAGAUGGUUUUGCUAUCACUUAUAGAUGGACCCGCGCCGUAUUAGCUAGUUGGUAAGGUAAUGGCUUACCAAGGCGACGAUACGUAGCCGACCUGAGAGGGUGAUCGGCCACACUGGAACUGAGACACGGUCCAGACUCCUACGGGAGGCAGCAGUAGGGAAUCUUCCGCAAUGGGCGAAAGCCUGACGGAGCAACGCCGCGUGAGUGAUGAAGGUUUUCGGAUCGUAAAACUCUGUUAUUAGGGAAGAACAAAUGCGUAAGUAACUGUGCGCAUCUUGACGGUACCUAAUCAGAAAGCCACGGCUAACUACGUGCCAGCAGCCGCGGUAAUACGUAGGUGGCAAGCGUUAUCCGGAAUUAUUGGGCGUAAAGCGCGCGUAGGCGGUUUCUUAAGUCUGAUGUGAAAGCCCACGGCUCAACCGUGGAGGGUCAUUGGAAACUGGGAAACUUGAGUGCAGAAGAGGAAAGUGGAAUUCCAUGUGUAGCGGUGAAAUGCGCAGAGAUAUGGAGGAACACCAGUGGCGAAGGCGACUUUCUGGUCUGUAACUGACGCUGAUGUGCGAAAGCGUGGGGAUCAAACAGGAUUAGAUACC
rnacentral:rRNA from 1 species